rnacentral:rRNA from 1 species
AACGUAGGAGGCAAGCGUUAUCCGGAGUUACUGGGCGUAAAGCGCGUGUAGGUGGAUUGGUAAGUUACUUAUAAAAGCCCCUGGCUAAACUAGGGGAGGUUGGGUGAUACUGCCAGUCUUGAAUAGAGGAGAGGUUGACGGAAUUCCGCGUGUAGUGGUGAAAUGCGUAGAUAUCAAGAGGAACACCUGAGGUGAAGACGGGUUGCUGGGCUGACACUGACGCUGAGGCGCGAAAGCCAGGGGAGCAAACGGG